AGCGAAGAGAAUGUCCAUUAUGGAAUAUAAUCAGAGAGAACCUUAGUUUUUCAUCCCAAAUUGAUGGAUUAGAUAAGUCUUCCGGCUUUGGGAGACUAUAAUCAUCUCAGAAUCGAUGCCAUUGUCUACUUUUCUGAGGCUAUUCUGGAGAUGAGGCAACUACUUCAACCUUGGAUCUAGAGGUUUCACCAGUGAGCUGUAGCAGUAGCUUCAAUCCCAUCCCAAUUCGCUGAUGCUGCCAUGAUUCAGUAUGUAUCAGAUAAUGUUACCUUUGUUCAAGUGCUUAAUGUGAUUUACAUUAUCAUUUGGAGUUUUGGGUGACUUUUGCUGAAUUGAUCUUAAGUGGAAGAAGGCUAAUCAACAUGUUAGUUCAAAUGCAUUCAAUAACUAAGGUUAUAACAGCAUACUUGACACAGUCCUGGAACAUGCCAAUGUGGGAUAUCCACCCCCCCCCCCUACUAAGGAAGAGUUCCUAGGAAUUACAUCAUGUACAAAAUUCCAGAGCUUUGCCAUAAGGAAGUUGGUCUAUUAGCCUGUCUCUAUGAAUGAAUCAAAACAAACUCAAAAUUUGUUAAGAGUGAGUGAGCUCUUUGUUACUAUGGUCAUUUGUAUUACGAUAUUUUACCUUCUUUUAUGUGCUGCUUACAAAUUUAUAUCAACUCUCUUGUGUUUGUACAAUGUAUUUAAAGGUAUCCGGAUGAAGAAGAAGGUGAAAUCCCUUGGGCAUUUAUAGUGAGGAAAAAAGUCAAUAUUCUUACUGAAGCACAAGUAAUGGAUUUUAUUGGUAAACAGGCAUUUUUAGUUCCCACAACCAAGAGAAUAUUUCAUUUCCUUUUCCGUGACUCAUCUAUUGUGAAUAUUGGUUGCCUAAUAGAUCCUACAUUUCAUGGGUCUCAUUUCUGUAAUGUUACUGUUCUUUAGUUCCUCAGACGGCACCAUACAAUAAGAUAUGCCGAGUUGUUUUUUUUAACUCAAUUCCAAAGUCUCCUGCCUGAAAGAUUUUGAGAAGAAGGGAUCUUAUCAAUCGUGUUCUUCCUGUUGCUUCAACUAAACCAUGGUCUUUUUUGUUUACUUGACGAUAGGUAUAUAAACACUUCAAUGGCCUCUUGAAUAUACUUUUGGGUCAUUCAAUUGCUUAUUU